UACUGGUAUUGUUGGUUUCUCCCUUCUGACGAACCAUGAUGUCAUUUAUUUGGUGUUGUGGGGAAUCAAGACUGUUACUUUGAAAAAAUUAUUAGUGUUUAAAGCAGGCUAACGCUUGAAUACAUUAGCAUGGAAUAAUGAAAUCCGACGUUUGAUCCUAUUUUGUUGGUUUCCAGGAUUGACCUACUGAUUAAUAUGGAUAGUUGGGGGCAUUAGUAUUCAAUUGUCAGAGGUGAAAUUCUUGGAUUUAUUGAAGACUAACUACUGCUAAAGCAUUUGCCAAGGAUGUUUUCAUUAAUCAAGAACGAAAGUUAGGGGAUCGAACACCAUCACAUACCGUCAUAGUCUUCACCAUAAACUAUGCCGACUAAGGAUCGGAUGAUGUUAAUUUUUUAAUGACUCAUUCGGCGCCUUACC
rnacentral:rRNA from 1 species